GCCAGCAUGGUAUAGCGGCUGAGCGUUGGAUUACAACUCCAGAGACCAAGGUUUAAAUCCCUGUUCAGCCA